rnacentral:rRNA from 1 species
GAUCCUGGCUCAGAGCGAACGUUAGCGGCGCGCCUAACACAUGCAAGUCGCACGGAGUAGCAAUACUCAGUGGCGCACGGGUGCGUAACGCGUAUGCAACCUACCUUUCAGAGGGGGAUAGCCCGUCGAAAGACGGAUUAAUACCGCAUAAUAUAGUUGAAGGGCAUCCUUUGAUUAUUAAACAUUUAUGGCUGAAAGAUGGGCAUGCGUUAGAUUAGCUAGUUGGUGAGGUAGCAGCUCACCAAGGCGAUGAUCUAUAGGGGUUCUGAGAGGAAGAUCCCCCACACUGGUACUGAGAUACGGCCCAGACUCC